rnacentral:rRNA from 1 species
UCCAUUAAGCCUUUUUUCAACUUUUGACC